rnacentral:sRNA from 1 species
UGGUCGCAGGUUCGAAUCCUGCACGACCCACCAAUAUACAAGGUGGUAACUGGUAGAGAACGUGAAGGAUAACGUUGCUUUAGCAACGGCCCGAAGGGCGAGGCGAAGCCGAGUCAUCCUGCACGACCCACCA